rfam:Gossypium hirsutum cultivar TM-1 chromosome 6, whole genome shotgun sequence
UGUUAAAAUUUUUAUUCAUUUAUACUGUUAAAAAUUAGCGUAGUUAACAAAAUAACCAGACAAUUACAUGUGGCAUGUCACAUGUACCUUAUGCUAGCGUACAAGGGCCAAUUUUUAAAAGUGAAAAUGGAUGAAUUUUUUAAUA